AGAUGAAAGUGUGGAAAAAGGAGGCUGUCCAGUUCCCACUACAGUGCGGCUACAUAAAAGGAAAGAAUGCUCACACACACACUGACAGGGAGCCAGGGUUUUUACCAUGUGAAGAGGAUUGCCAAAUGCAGAGUUAUUAAGGGCCAAAAAUGGAAGCAGGUGGAGUGGGAGCCAUGCAGACUAUG